GGUGGCUCAGUGGUAGAGUGCCUGCCUUGCAUGCAUGAGGUCCUGGGUUCGAUUCCUCAGUACCA
rfam:Dipodomys ordii contig_67631, whole genome shotgun sequence.